AUUAAUCAUCCACGUUUUCACAUAUAUAUAUAUAUAGGCUACAUAUGCUACAUAUGCUACAUAUAUUUAAAAAUAUUAUAUUUGUGGCUAUUAUAAUGCACAAUAGCUUUAGAUUGCUAUAAUUUGUAAUAACAAUUUUAAUAAGAUAAAUAAGUAAUACAAAAUGGAAAAGGAAAAAGUAGUAUAUGAAGCGUGCUAUCCCACAUAUUGUACUUACAGAUAUCAUUUUCACAGAUUGGAUUCCACUCAAUUAUUUUGUAAAAGAAAUAAAAAAGAAUUUAUUGAAAGUAAAAAACUAAAAAAUGAAACUAGUAUAAUUGCGGUUAGUUGUAAUUAUCAGACUAAUGGAAUAGGUACUAUGGAUACUAAAAAUUGUGUUAAUAGAAUAUGGGUAUCUGAAAGAGGAAAUUUAUUUAUAUCUUUUGUUUUUUUAUGGAAAAAAAGUUUGUAUCAAAAGGUAGGUUGUUUAUCACAAGCAGCUACAGUUGCAGUUAGUAAAACAUUGGAGAAAUAUAAUUUAAAAUGUCAAAUAAAGUGGAUAAACGAUGUUUAUAUAAAUAAUAAAAAAAUUUCUGGAUGUAUUGUUAAUAUAUGUAAUUUAAAUUAUGACAACGAUGAUGAUGAUGAUGCAACUAAUACAACAUUAUGUACACGUAAUGUAUCAAAUUUUAUUAAUAAUGAUUAUGUGUACAUUAUUACUGGAAUUGGAAUAAAUGUAGCUCUAGAUAAUGAUAAAACAAUAUUAAAUAAUGAUUUUACUUCAAUGAAAAGAGAACUACAAAAGAAAAAAGAUAUUACCAAUUAUGUUAGUAAUAACAAUAAUAGUGAAAAUAGUAAUAAUAAUAAUACAGUUACUCCUUCAGUAGAAAAAGUUACAGAAACAUUAAUAGAACAAUUUUAUUUAGUUAUAUGUACAUUGAUUAAAGAAGGAUUCAUAUCAUUUCUAGAUUAUAUAACAAUACGUCUUUUGUAUAAAGGUAAACAAGUUUUAAUUGAUCAAGAUAAUAAUAAAAUAAUUGGUUAUAUUAAAGGAAUUUCAGAUGACGGUUCUAUUAUUUUGGUUAAUGAUUACAAUCAAACUAUUCAUGUAAACACUGGACGUUUAUUUCUUUAUCAAGAAAAUAGUGAUUUAUAGAAGUAUGUAUGUAUGUAUAU
rnacentral:lncRNA from 1 species